rnacentral:rRNA from 1 species
UACGAGGGGUGCAAGCGUUAUUCGGAAUAAUUGGGCGUAAAGGGUGCGUAGGUGGCAUUCUAAGUCAACUGUUAAAUCUCCCGGCCUAACUGGGAACAUGCAGUAGAUACUGGUAUGCUAGAGGGUGGAAGAGAGAAGUGGAAUUCUCGGAGUAGCGGUAAAAUGCGUAGAUCUCGAGAGGAACACCAAUGGCGAAGGCAGCUUCUUGGUCCAUACCUGACACUGAGGCACGAAAGCGUGGGGAGCAAACAGG